rnacentral:rRNA from 1 species
UACGUAGGGGGCUAGCGUUGUCCGGAAUCAUUGGGCGUAAAGCGCGUGUAGGCGGUCCGGUAAGUCCGCUGUGAAAGUCCAGGGCUCAACCCUGGGAUGCCGGUGGAUACUGUCGAGCUCGAGUCCGGAAGAGGCGAGUGGAGUUCCUGGUGUAGCGGUGAAAUGCGCAGAUAUCAGGAGGAACACCAAUGGCGAAGGCAGCUCGCUGGGACGUGACUGACGCUGAGACGCGAAAGCGUGGGGAGCAAACAGG